rnacentral:tRNA from 1 species
GGGGUUGUGGCUCAGUGGUAAAGCGCUUGCCUGGCAUGUAUGAGGUACCAGGUUCAAUUCUCAGCACCA